rnacentral:rRNA from 1 species
AUACCAGCACCCCGAGUGGUCGGGACGAUUAUUGGGCCUAAAGCAUCCGUAGCUUGUUUUGCAAGUCUUCCGUUAAAUCCACCUGCUCAACAGAUGGGCUGCGGGGGAUACUACAGGGCUAGGAGGCGGGAGAGGCAAACGGUACUCAGUGGGUAGGGGUAAAAUCCUCUGAUCCACUGAAGACCACCAGUGGCGAAGGCGGUUUGCCAGAACGCGCUCGACGGUGAGGGAUGAAAGCUGGGGGAGCAAACCGGAUUAGAUACCCGGGUAGUCCCAGCUGUAAACGAUGCAGACUCGGUGAUGGGUUGGCUUUGAGCCAACCCAGUGCCGCAGGGAAGCCGUUAAGUCUGCCGCCUGGGGAGUACGGUCGCAAGACUGAAACUUAAAUGAAUUGGCGGGG